UACGAAGGGGGCUAGCGUUGCUCGGAAUUACUGGGCGUAAAGCGCACUUAGGCGGCUCUUUAAGUCGGGGGUGAAAUCCUGGAGCUCAACUCCAGAACUGCCUUCGAUACUGAAGAGCUUGAGUCCGGGAGAGGUGAGUGGAACUGCGAGUGUAGAGGUGAAAUUCGUAGAUAUUCGCAAGAACACCAGUGGCGAAGGCGGCUCACUGGCCCGGUACUGACGCUGAGGUGCGAAAGCGUGGGGAGCAAACAGG
rnacentral:rRNA from 1 species